UACAGAGGUCCCAAGCGUUGUUCGGAUUCACUGGGCGUAAAGGGUGCGUAGGCGGUCGGGUAAGUCUGAUGUGAAAUCUCACAGCUUAACUGUGAAACUGCAUUGGAUACUAUUCGGCUUGAGAGUUGGAGGGGGGACUGGAAUUCCUGGUGUAGCGGUGAAAUGCGCAGAUAUCAGGGGGAACACCGGUGGCGAAGGCGGGUCUAGCUGGGCCGUAACUGGACCGCUGAGGAGCG
rnacentral:rRNA from 1 species